AGCAUAUAACAAUCAAACAUUAAACUAAAAAUCAAUAUCAAUAGUUACCUGCAAAUAUGUAAACAAAAAAUCAAUCACAAAAAGUACCAUUUAUAGUUAUAGUUAUCUAUUUAGUUGGGGAAAGAAGUCCAGGGGCGGAUCCAGCCAUUUUAAAAAGGGGGGGGGGUUCCCAACCCAGAGUAAACAGGGGUUCCAGCUGUAUGCUCACAUUCAAAAGCAUUGAUCAGCCAAAAAAAGGAGGGGUUCCAACCCCCGGAACCUCCCCUCCUGGAUCUGCCAAAAAAGUCUCCAUUGAUGACAUCAAGACAUCUACAUGAACAUCAUGUUUGUUCUUUAUUAGCACUUAAUUAUUUUUUCAAUAUUAUGUGUUGUUUCUUGAUAUUAAGCAACCAACAACAAUCAAUCAAUCAAUCAAAGGUAAUUUCAUUAAGGAAUGACUAAUAUUUUUUCUGUCUAUGAAGAAAUAACAUUAAAAAUGUGGUGCAUACUGAAUAACACGUGUUAUUUAGUGUGCACCACAUUUUCUAUGUUAUUUCAAAUAGACAGAAAAAAUAUUACAGUCAUUUCUUAUAAUUUAAUUCUAAAUUCC
rnacentral:lncRNA from 1 species